rnacentral:lncRNA from 1 species
GAGCUCGAAAAACCUACGAAUGUAUUACCGAUAACUUUAUUUUAAAUAAAAGUUGCAUAUCUACAUGUCUCCUUCCUUGGCACAAGCCUAUAUCGAUAGGACAGUCAAAAUAAAUCGUGUCGGAAGCGGGAGGAGAACUUCGUCUCGACAAAGUCGAAGGCCCGGUUCUCUUUAGACCGGAUGGGGGGAGAGGCCAAGCAACGCCCAUAUGUGCC